GAUGAACGCUGGCGGCGUGCCUAAUACAUGCAAGUCGAGCGAACAGAUGAGGAGCUUGCUCCUCUGACGUUGUCGGCGGACGGGUGAGUAACACGUGGAUAACCUACCUAUAAGACUGGGAUAACUUCGGGGAACCGGAGCUAAUACCGGAUAAUAUAUUGAACCGCAUGGUGCAAUAGUGAAAGACGGUUUUGCUGUCACUUAUAGAUGGAUCCGCGCCGCAUUAGCUAGUUGGUAAGGUAACGGCUUACCAAGGCAACGAUGCGUAGCCGACCUGAGAGGGUGAUCGGCCACACUGGAUGUGAGACACGGUCCAGACUCUGACGGGAGGAAGCAGUAGGGAAUCUUACGCGAUGCGCGAAUGCCUGAUGGAGCACCGCCGCGUGAGUGAUGAAGGUCUUCGGACCGUAAAACUCUGUUAUUAGGGAAGAAGAAAUGCGUAAGUAACUAUGCACGUCUUGACGGUACCGAAUCAGAAAGCCACGGCUAACUACGUG
rnacentral:rRNA from 1 species